ACAAUUUUUGCCUAGUCAUAGGGUUGUCUCCAGUCAAAAGUCUCCAGUUUAGGGGCACGUAGAUAAAAGGUUUAGGGGGUCUACUUAUAGGGUCCGAUGGUAUGAACUUUAUAGGAAAGGUAGCAACUGUAGUUUUCCAACUUAUUUUAGCAGUGGAUUCCUUUCUUUACCCUAAAAUCUAGGUGGUGAAGCACAAGAGCACAACUUUGUGUGAGCCGUGGAGCAAUGGUUAUCAAGUGCGAGCCAUGGGUUUGAGUCUCCUACUCAUGGGUGUACAUAGGAUUCUGGGCAAGUCAUGUCUUCUCAAACUCAGUAGGUGUAAAGAGCAUAGGUGUAUUGUGUACUUGCAGAGUCAUUUGUAAGUAUCGAAUGCUAUGACGCUGCAGGGAUGAGAGAGGUUCUUCUCUUGAAUUCACAGCUGUAUCACCUAAUUCAUAGUUGGGGGGAUGCUGUCUGGUGGCUCUUAGUCACUGCUGGCAACUGGCAGAGUCCUACAAGAGUGUCUUUACUUCUGAGAUGAUUUUAGUUCCUGGAGAUUCCCUGUGACUUUUUUUUUUCUAAGUCAACAUGCCAUUAUGCUCCUUCAUUCAUUCCAUAAAUUCAUUCAUCCUAUAUAGUUCAUUCAUAUUAGGGACUUCAAUUGAACACUUGCUAUGUGUAAGUUACUGGGUGGAAUCUAGGGGUUGGACCAUGAGUAAGAUACAUUCACUGCCUUCGAAGAGUUUAUUGUCCAGUGUGAGAGGCACAAAUAUGUGUGCAGAUAUAUCUACACACAUAAACACAUAAUACAUCUAUACAUAUGUAAUACUUACAAUACAAAGGAGGCUGAUAUAUGUUUAACGAAGAGAUGAGUUACAAACUGUGAAGGCUGAGUAUUGGAGGAGUAAGAUGAGGAUUCUAAUAGGUGGAAAAGUUUAGUCAGGUGCAGUCCAGACAGCAAAAGAAAGGAAUCAUGAAAUAGAUAGUCUCUGUGGUUAAUAAAAUUGUGUAGUAUAUUUGGGCAUUAAUGAGCAAUCUUGUGACUGAGCAGGUGGUACUAGAGUAUGAAAAAAGCAGAAAAUGGAUGGAUUGAGCCUCCAAGAAGAUGUCUGUGUCUCCCGCCUAUGCCCAUUGCUAAGGUUUCUUGUGAGUUUGUAUGAAGCCUCAGAAUCCUUCUCAACACAAUUCUCCAAAAAGUCACCACUGAUCUGUUGGGGUUGGCACUUGACAUAAAACCGUUUGUACUUCCUUGCUUAGGCCUUAAACCCCAUGCCUACAUAUUUGUAUUUUAUUUGGUUGUUUUUGGGGGGAGUUAAUGCAUGUUUUAAAGAAUCAGGAUGAUAUGAGUGAAUGAUGACUGAACCUGUGUUUGUGUAAGGUAGGCGGUGGCCAUGGGAAGCAUGCAUGGGGAAGGUGAGAUCCUGGAAACAGAGAGGCCAGUAGAAGACUACACAAAUCACCUGGUACAGUGUGGGUGGGAAGGAGAGAGGGGGUUGCACAGUUAAGGCACUGGGGAGAUAGAAGAGGUCAUGACAGACAGGGAAAGAAGAAAUGACAAUAACUGAGAUUCUCACCUGGGCCCCCGAGAGGCAAGAGGGGCUGCUCUGGUCUGAAUGUGUCCUCCCUGAAGAUUUAUAUGCUGAAGUCCUGACCCUCCAAACUGAUGGUGUUAGGAGGUGGGGCCUUUGAGAGGUGAUUAGGGACAAGCAUGGAACCUCAUGACUGGGAUUACUGUCUUAUACAAGACCCCUCAGAGCUCCCUCACCCCUUCUGCCACGUGAGGCCACAACAGAAGCCUGACACCUAGAAGGGGCCUCACCCAUCUAUGUUGGUGACCUUGGGCUUUUUGCCUCCAGAACUAUGAGAAAUGUAUUUCUGUGGUUUACCCUGUCUGUGGUAUUUUGUUAUAACACCCUGAGCAGACUAAGACAGGGGCCAAGCAAAGGGGUAUAGGAAGAGCUUUUUACUUUUCUUUUUAAAAGGGAAGAUGAUACAUUAAGCUUCAGAUGGGCUGAAUUUGAGGCCUAUGGGACAGCUAUGGAGAGAAUUGCAGCCAUCGUUUGGAAAUACAUAUCUGGAGAUGUCAGUUGGGUUCCAGCAACUUGAUAUCACACCCACAAAUGUGUGGCUACCUGCAGUGUGAAGGACGCUGGAACUACGAGGCUGUGGUUUCUGGAAGUCCACUCUCCCUCUAGUGGUUGGCAUCUUUCAGGAGAGACCAGAGUGUGUUCAGCUCGGCUCAGCCUAAGCACCCUUGGAGAAGAGCUUAACUUCAUUUCCAAAGGCCUCCUUUUCAUGUAGGAAUUUUCAGCUUUCGGAGGAAAUCUAGAUGAGAAAUACCGAGUCUGAGAGAGGUAACUUGCCUGUGAUCGCACAGCCAGUGAAUGGUGAAGCUGAGAUGCCAGCUCAGUUGGCUUGGUGAUUGAUUAGUGACAACAAGCCCUGUCUCCUCGGGUCUGCCUUUCUCUCUCCAUCACCCCCAUCUGUCCUGUGUGUCUCUUGGCAAGGUGUGGUCUCUUCUCGUGGUCUUCUUUAUUCCUUCUCUUAGUGAAGCCUCUAUGUGUUUAAAACUUUCUUGAAUAUAAUAAAAUAUCUGACAUGCACUCAGAAAGUGGAGGCAGGAAAAUCAGCAAGAGAUAGAAAGAACAGAAACAGUGGAGGAACAGGUUGAUGAAUGGGCUUUUGAGGCUGGGUUGGAGCAGCCUGUCUGGAGGGGUGGAAGCCAGGCCCUCAUCACAUUUACCAACGACCACCGUGGGACUAACUCCCUGCCUCCAUCUUCACCCCUGACAGUCCAUCCACCCUCCACAUCUCCACAAGCCUUAUCUUUCCAAAACAGCACAGUCAUCAAUACUCUCCUGCUUCCUGCUGACACUGUCGACUCCUCCUCUCCCUUCAAUGCCAACUCACCCUUCCUGCCCCACACAGAGACUACUCUUCAGACUUGCAACUGGCCCCGCCCUACCUUUCCCAUUCCUUACCCACCAUUUCCCCACAUGAAGCUCAACCUGGCAGGUUCUCUCCGUCCCUGGAUGCUAAGCUUAUGAAACAUGAACUAGGAGUUUCUGGCAAUUAUUACUGCCAUCACUUACAGAGGGCCUGUCUAAAGAUGAAGCCACUGUGGAGGAAACCAGAGUGGAGGCAUUCUGCAUAACAUCUUUUAAGCACUUAGAUCCAACCACUGCUGUACCUGAAAGUCAGCAGAUUCUUUGUUUAGGUCGAUUUCUGUUGAGAAUCUGUAACUUGCAAGUAAAAGGGGUCUAACUAUUGCAGUGCUUCCUUCAGGAUCUACCUCCGUGAUUAUCUGCAAGUGAAUAGCAGCUCAAAGAACAGCCCUCUGGCAUCUGGCCUGAAGCUGUUUCCUCCCCUAACUGGCCUAGACUGAUUCCCAUUCCAGCUCAAGUUGUGCUGAGGGUCAGAUUAAAGUGAAUCAAUUGACACAUAGAUCAAUGGAACAGAAUAGAAUGCCCUGAAAUAAACCUACACUUAUAUGGUCAGUCAAUCUAUGACAAAGGAGGCAAGAAUAUACAAUGGGGGAAAAGUCAGUCUCUUCAAUAAAUGGUGUGGGGAAAACUGGACAGAUACACCCAAAAGAAUGAAACUGUCCCAUUUGAUUAUACCAUAAGCAAAAAUAAACUCAAAAUGGAUUAAAGAAGGCCUAACUGUAAGACUCCUAAAAAAAACAUGGGCCUUAGCAGUUUUUUUUUUGGAUAUAUCUCCCCAUGCAAGGGUAACAAAAGCAAAAACAAACAAAUGGAACUACAUCAAAG